GUGGGCGCCGCUUUGACCGCCCUGGCCCUGCUGGCUCUGGGCUACCACCUGGCAAAGAAGCGCUGCCGGCACCCCGCCACCAUGGAUUACAAGUGCGGGGGACCCCACGAGAAGGAGCUCGGGCUCCAGCCGGUCGCCUCGGGCUGUGCCGGCCCCGCACAGAAACUGUAGGGACUGCGGGCAGGACGGACAGAGGGAGGUGGACUGAACUGGCCGGCUCUUGGAACGCUGGCGCCAGAGAGCCAGGAAGGCAGAACGCGCGGAGGCUUCUCCGUUCUUGCUCUGUUCGUUCCUGCUCCGUUCAUUCCUGCUCCGUUCCCGCUCCCUUCGCAGGCGGCAGCCGGCAUUCAGCUUUCCUUUUCCCGAGCCAGUGGUGGGGAAAAGCCCCAAGGAAAAACGCAGGAGGGGCAUCUCCGUCUGGAACUGACUCUAAAUCCGCGUGGACCCUCUGACUGACUCGGUGGGGACUGUGGAAGGUCGCCCGGCCCCCAACCCCUCUCCCUCGGGCCGGGCUGCAGAGGAUGGUUUUCCGGGACUGGGAGGCUCCUGCCUUUGUCUGGAGUCGGGUUAAUUUGUUUUAAACUGAUGGCCGAUGGAAGCAGGAGCAAAGAUGUUGUGGGCAGCACUUUAUGUGGCCCCUCUGCCCCCCCGUGUCUGCACCGUGUCCCCCCCAUGUCGUGCCUCAUCCCCAAGCACUUUCCACCUUAAAUCACUGGUGGCAGCGGCGACCCAGCUGAGUGUCACCCGGGGGGGGGGCUAAAAUGCCUGAUUCUUGUUCCCUCAAGUUAUUUUGGGGCUCUCUGGGGGGGUGUGGAGGUUAAACAGGGACACGACACUGCCGGGGUGGGUUUUUUUCCGUGGCAGGGAAGGUUUGCGGCGCUGCGGAGCCUCCUGUUCCCCACCCAAUUCCUUCCCCGAUUUCCCACCCUGGUUGCAUUUAAACGGAUUCAAGGUGUUUUUACAAACCCACUUACGACCCCUCCUGCCCGCAGGGAUUUUUCCUGUUUUCCCUUGACCGGGGCUGAGUCUAAUCCAUGCUGGAACUCACAGUGAAACAUUCCCACGGGGGCAGGAUCCCGCCCGCUGCCUAUUUUCCAGCCACGGCCUGGAGGGGGGGAAAUCUGGAAAAGGAUGUGUUUUUCCAGCUCCUUCAUUCCAUGGGGGUCCUGCUCCGGCAGCUGUGGUGGGGUGAAGCCGGCGGCUGCUGGUGGGAAUGUGGGAGUGGGUGCUGACAGCUUUAUGCCAGUGAAAUAUCAUCCCAGAGCAGCAGUUUGCUUUCCCACAGGAAGUUUUGUGGGCCCAGGGUCAGAACUGGGGGGGUCUGUUCCCCCCCCCCCCCCCCUCACAUACUGUGAACUCACUAACAUGCAACAUCCCCCCUGGAAUGCUGAACUUACAUGUCAAAUUCCAAGGAAAAUCAAAAUAGUUGUGUGAACUGUGGGUUUCCUAAAAGGUUGUUGCCCCUGGGGCCGGGUAACUGAGGGUCCUGUCAAUAGGCAAUUAGAGGGAAUGAUUUAUUGCAAAUACAAGUCUGUGGCAGGUUUAUUUUGGAACAAUUUGCUUGCAAUGGAAAGGAGGGAUGGAGCUGUCUGCAUUAUCUAUAGAAAUGGAGCAAUAUCAACAUAUAAAGGAGUCACUUAAGAAAAUAUGUAAGGAGAAGAAAGAAAGAAAGAAAAAGAAGGAUAAGAGCAGACAGUGGAGAGGAAAGAUCCCACCCGUGGCUCCAGAGUUAAUACACCUUCAGGCUCAGGUGGGAACACCCGGGUACCUCCCCUGCCUUAUCCAAGUGUGGAUCACACACAGCCCUCUGGAGGGAGCCCCAGAAAUGAGUCUGGGGGCACCUCGGGCGUCUUUGAUGGUUUAUGGCCCCUUCUAAGACGUGACCAGGUUUGGCCCCAAGCCAGUUAUGCCCCGUCAGAAGGGAUGAGCACCUCCUGGUUUAUGGGAUGGCUCCUUGGGGGGAGGACACUGGCAUGAUAAGAAGCAUCAUCCCACCUUUCAGGAGCUGCUCCUUCCUGGCCUUUUCCCCCGUCUGGCUCAAACCUCUCAGCUUGUUGCUCAAACAAAGUCGGUUUGUCGUGGUCGCCCUCCGGUGUCUUACACAGGUCAGAGGUUCUGCCACCACACCCCCAAAAACUCUGCUCCUCCCCUUCCGUGCUUGGCUCAAAUUCCCUCCGCGGUGGUUUAUCCUACGAAAAGUGCCUAAACAGUGUUUGAGACACGCAGAUGUCUUUAAUUCCUUCCCCAAGGUUCAGCCCCCCUGUUUUAUACCCCCGGCACGUUUUGUAAAUACUUAUUUAUUUAUUGGAAUUAUACCCUCCGUGAUGUCACGCAGCGAUUCUGCGUGGAGACCAAUAAAGCUUUUACAGUCUGGUUUAUAGAAA